rnacentral:rRNA from 1 species
UACGUAGGGUGCGAGCGUUGUCCGGAAUUAUUGGGCGUAAAGAGCUCGUAGGCGGUCUGUCGCGUCGGCUGUGAAAACCUGGGGCUCAACUCCGGGCCUGCAGCCGAUACGGGCAGACUAGAAUUCGGUAGGGGAGACUGGAAUUCCUGGUGUAGCGGUGAAAUGCGCAGAUAUCAGGAGGAACACCGGUGGCGAAGGCGGGUCUCUGGGCCGAUAUUGACGCUGAGGAGCGAAAGCGUGGGGAGCGAACAGG